rnacentral:rRNA from 1 species
GACGAACGCUGGCGGCGUGCUUAACACAUGCAAGUCGAACGCAGUGGGGACGGGUGAGUAACACGUGGGUAACCUCCCAUCAGAGGGGAUAACACUUGGAAACAGGUGCUAAACCGAUACUGAUGGAUGGACCCGCGGUGCAUUAGCUAGUUGGUGAGGUAACGGCUCACCAAGGCCACGAUGCAUAGACGACCUGAGAGGGUGAUGGGGCACACGGUGACUGAGACACGGCGCAGACGCGUACGGGAGUCAGCAGGAGGGCAGGUUGAGGAAUGGACGAAAGUCUGACCGAGCAACGGCGCGUGAGUGAAGAAGGUUAUCGGUUAUCAAAACUCUGUUGUUAUAGAAGCGGUAUCUAUUUAGAAUGCCACGGCUAACGACGUGCCAGCAGCCGCGGUAAUAC